rnacentral:rRNA from 1 species
GUUUUCCGAGUAGAGUGGCGAACGGGUGAGUAACGCGUAGGUAAUCUAUCUUCAAGCGGGGGACAGCCCCGGGAAACCGGGAUUAAUACCGCAUGUGUCCAUUGAUUUGUUUCAAUGGGUAAAAGUGGCCUCUGUUUCAAGCUACUGUUUGAAGUUGAGCCUGCGUCCUAUUAGUUAGUUGGUAAGGUAAGAGCUUACCAAGGCGAUGAUAGGUAGGCGGCCUUAACGGGUGGUCGCCCACACUGGGAUUGAGAUACGGCCCAGACUCCUACGGGAGGCAGCAGUCGAGAAUAGUCUACAAUGGGGUAAUACCCUGAUAGUGCGACGCCGCGUGGACGAAGAAGCAUUUCGGUGUGUAAAGUCCUUUUCUAUGUGAGCAAGACUCAGAAGGAGAAUAUUUUUUUGAGUUUGAUAUUAGCAUAGGAAUAAGCCACGGCUAACUCCGUGCCAGCAGCCGCGGUAACACGGGGGUGGCAAGCGUUGUCCGGAAUUACUAGGCGUAAAGUGCAAUAAGGCGGAGAUGUAAGUCAGAUGUAAAAGGCACCGGCUCAACCGGUGUGACGCAUUUGAUACUGUGUUUCUGGAGUAAGGUGGAGGGAGACGGAAUUCCUGGUGUAGCGGUGGAAUGCGUAGAUAUCAGGAAGAACACCAAAGGCGCAGGCAGUUUUCCAUACCAUUACUGACGCUGAUUUGCGAAGGUGUGGGUAUCGAACAGGAUUAGAUACCCUGGUAGUCCACACAGUAAACGAUAAACACUAGGUGUUGGAGAUGUACAAAGUCAUCAGUGCCGUAGCUAACGCGUUAAGUGUUUCGCCUGGGGAGUACGAUCGCAAGGUUUAAACUCAAAGGAAUUGACGGGGGCCCGCACGAGCGGUGGAGCAUGUGGUUUAAUUCGAUGCAACGCGAAGAACCUUACCUGGGUUUGACAUCCGCGGAAAGAGACAGAGAUGUUUUUGUGCCUCUUCGGAGGAACCGCGAGACAGGUGCUGCAUGGCUGUCGUCAGCUCGUGUC